CGAGGGGGAAGGAACUCUCCAAGAAGAAGCUCACGAGAGAGGCUUGGCUGCUUGUUUAUCUCAGGGUUUUUCUGCUUCGGGAGGCUGCUGCUACUUCUAGAGGACAAUGUACAAAUUUCACAGACACAGAAAAGUUUAUAAAAAGAUACCUCUUGUUUACAUUUACGUAAAAGACAUUACAGUGCUCUAUCAUUUUGUGAACAAGGACCACCGGCCAUUUCAGGCCUAGGAUGCUAGGCUACCUUCUAAAGAAAUGGAGCAUAUAUCUUAUCAUCUAUAAAUCACUGAGCAAUAAUUACCCAUUCAGCCCAGAUUCAUAUCUCCCACCUUCUAAAAUAUUUACUAUCUACCGGAGCAGAACUUUUAAGAUUGCCCCUCCUCCCCCUCCACAAAGGUAAAGGUGAAAGGACUAGCACCAGGGCAUUCUCUCUAGUUUGUGUUCACCUGUGACUAUAAUAAAUAUACUAUAUGUGUAUC